GUGAAAACAGCCAUCAGACUCAGGUUCACCUGUACCGUGAAGCAUCGACAGAACACACGUGGUACCUGGUGCAGAGAGACGGCGUUGAGGACGGGCUCGAUCAUCCCGCUGUCCGAUGACAUCACCAGGAUCUUAUAAGCUGUCGGAGGACCUGAUAGGCCAGCAGCUCCUGUCUCAGGUCGUCUCCACACUUGACGAUGACGGACAGCAGCCUCCAGUUGAGCAGGGUUCUUUGAGGGCGACGGCUGACGGAUCCUCGGGGUCUCGUCUGAACGUAGUCGGAGUGUGAGCCAGGUUCUCCGACAGACGACGCCUGAGAACCGACAGGAUGGAGAGGACGCACGGUGAAGAGACGGACGCC